AUUGAACGCUGGCGGCAGGCCUAACACAUGCAAGUCGAGCGGAUGAAGGGAGCUUGCUCCUGGAUUCAGCGGCGGACGGGGGAGUAAUGCCUAGGAAUCUGCCUGGUAGUGGGGGAUAACGUCCGGAAACGGGCGCUAAUACCGCAUACGUCCUGAGGGAGAAAGUGGGGGAUCUUCGGACCUCACGCUAUCAGAUGAGCCUAGGUCGGAUUAGCUAGUUGGUGGGGUAAAGGCCUACCAAGGCGACGAUCCGUAACUGGUCUGAGAGGAUGAUCAGUCACACUGGAACUGAGACACGGUCCAGACUCCUACGGGAGGCAGCAGUGGGGAAUAUUGGACAAUGGGCGAAAGCCUGAUCCAGCCAUGCCGCGUGUGUGAAGAAGGUCUUCGGAUUGUAAAGCACUUUAAGUUGGGAGGAAGGGCAGUAAGUUAAUACCUUGCUGUUUUGACGUUACCAACAGAAUAAGCACCAGCUAACUUCGUG
rnacentral:rRNA from 1 species